UACGUAGGGCGCAAGCGUUAUCCGGAAUUAUUGGGCGUAAAGAGCUCGUAGGCGGUUUGUCGCGUCGGCCGUGAAAACUUGGGGCUUAACCCCGAGCCUGCGGUCGAUACGGGCAGACUUGAGUUCGGCAGGGGAGACUGGAAUUCCUGGUGUAGCGGUGAAAUGCGCAGAUAUCAGGAGGAACACCGGUGGCGAAGGCGGGUCUCUGGGCCGAUACUGACGCUGAGGAGCGAAAGCGUGGGGAGCGAACAGG
rnacentral:rRNA from 1 species